rnacentral:sRNA from 2 species
CAAAUUCAGAAACCCUGCUCAACGAGCAGGGUUUUUUUGUAUCUGAAGCCUGACGAGGAUGAGAACCUCCGGGGGCAAGAGGUUCGACCCGAGCGAAGCGAGAGAACGUUGCGUCAGCAACGGCCCGCAGUGGCAAGUCAUCCUCUGUCACCGGCA